rnacentral:rRNA from 1 species
UACGUAGGUGGCAAGCGUUAUCCGGAAUUAUUGGGCGUAAAGCGCGCGUAGGCGGUUUUUUAAGUCUGAUGUGAAAGCCCACGGCUCAACCGUGGAGGGUCAUUGGAAACUGGAAAACUUGAGUGCAGAAGAGGAAAGUGGAAUUCCAUGUGUAGCGGUGAAAUGCGCAGAGAUAUGGAGGAACACCAGUGGCGAAGGCGACUUUCUGGUCUGUAACUGACGCUGAUGUGCGAAAGCGUGGGGACAA